UCCUCGGUAACAUAGUGGUCAUUAUCCCCCGCCUGUCGCGAGACCGGGGUUCGAUUCCCCGCCGGGGAG